GUGGUCCGCCCCACCCCCAGCACCCCGGCAGAAACCGCACCCCACUUCCCAUAGCCACGUUCUUCCCCAGACCUUACCCUGCCCAAGAGGUUGUCCUGAAGUAAUGUCUGCUGCAGCACUGGGGCCACCUCCUCCAAGCUCAACAUGUGGCAAAGUUCAUUUUUAACGUGCUGGAUUUUCCGAUGAAAGCCUGAAACCUGCACAUCUGAAGAUGCCUUCGCCAUGAUGCAAUGGAUGCCAAACACGACAUACACCCUUGGGACGGUGACCUCAGCCAUCUGCAACAAGGCUCUCAGAACCAGUCCUUUGACUAUAAAAAAAGCAGCAGCUUUCACUAACCAAGCAUCUUUAAUCCAAGCCAAAUUACAGAACUCUCUAACUUAGAGGUGAUCGUCCAUACGGCAGAUCAUUACAACAUGAAAAACGUAAGCUAAGAUGUUGAACACAGCCAGAACUGAAAAUAAAAGAGCUUUCUAAAACAAA
rnacentral:lncRNA from 1 species